rnacentral:rRNA from 1 species
GGCGGCGUGCCUAAUACAUGCAAGUCGAACGGUCUUCCUAUGGAAGCUUGCUUCCACUGAGAAGAUAGUGGCGAACGGGUGAGGUAACACGUGGGUAACCUGCCCAUAAGAGGGGGAUAACAUCCGGAAACGGGUGCUAAUACCGCAUAGUUUUCUUGAUCGCAUGAUCGGGAAAGGAAAGACGGCCUUUGUGCUGUCGCUUAUGGAUGGACCCGCGGCGUAUUAGUUAGUUGGUGAGGCAACGGCUCACCAAGACGAUGAUACGUAGCCGACCUGAGAGGGUGAUCGGCCACAUUGGGACUGAGACACGGCCCAAACUCCUACGGGAGGCAGCAGUAGGGAAUCUUCCGCAAUGGACGAAAGUCUGACGGAGCAACGCCGCGUGAGUGAAGAAGGUUUUCGGGAAUCGUAAAACUCUGUUGUCAGAGAAGAACAAGUUGGAGAGUAACUGCUCCAGCCUUGACGGUAUCUGACCAGAAAGCCACGGCUAACUACGUGCCAGCAGCAGC